rnacentral:rRNA from 1 species
AGUGAACGCUGGCGGUAGGCCUAACACAUGCAAGUCGAACGGCAGCACAGUAAGAGCUUGCUCUUACGGGUGGCGAGUGGCGGACGGGUGAGGAAUACAUCGGAAUCUACUUUUUCGUGGGGGAUAACGUAGGGAAACUUACGCUAAUACCGCAUACGACCUACGGGUGAAAGCAGGGGAUCUUCGGACCUUGCGCGAUUGAAUGAGCCGAUGUCGGAUUAGCUAGUUGGCGGGGUAAAGGCCCACCAAGGCGACGAUCCGUAGCUGGUCUGAGAGGAUGAUAAGCCGCACUGGAACGGGAACAGGGACAAGAGGACUGAGAGAGGGAGCAGUGGGGAAUAGUGGACAGUGGGCGCAAGCAUGAUCCAGCCAGACCGAGUGGGUGAAGAAGACGUUGGGGUUGUAAAGACCUUUUGUUGGGAAAGAAAAGCAGCAGGUUAAGACGCAGCGGUUCUGACGGUAACCAAAGAAUAAGCACCGGCUAACUACGUG